rnacentral:rRNA from 1 species
AUUGAACGCUGGCGGCAUGCCUUACACAUGCAAGUCGAACGGUAACGGGCCUUCGGGUGCCGACGAGUGGCGAACGGGUGAGUAAUGCAUCGGAACGUACCUUUCAGUGGGGGAUAACGUAGCGAAAGUUACGCUAAUACCGCAUAUUCUGUGAGCGGGAAAGCAGGGGAUCGCAAGACCUUGCGCUGAUUGAGCGGCCGAUGUCAGAUUAGCUAGUUGGUGAGGUAAAGGCUCACCAAGGCGACGAUCGGUAGCGGGUCUGAGAGGAUGAUCCGCCACACUGGAACUGAGACAAGGUCCAGACUCCAACGGGAGGCAGCAGUGGGGAAUUUUGGACAAUGGGGGCAACCCUGAUCCAGCCAUGCCGCGUGAGUGAAGAAGGCCUUCGGGUUGUAAAGCUCUUUCGGUCGGGAAGAAAUCGCAUGGGUUAAUACCCUGUGCGGAUGACGGUACCGGCAUAAGAAGCACCGGCUAACUACGUGCCAGCCGCCGCAGUAAGAC